rnacentral:lncRNA from 1 species
GAAAGGGCAUUAGUCUAUAAUAUCUUUCAAGAUUUUUGUUAUGCUAAGACCAAUAUAUCAUACUUUACUCAAACAACUUAUUAUUUAUACAUGUAUUUGAUAUUCGUAUAAUCUAGAUUCAUGGAAUAUGAUCGGAAUACUUAACGAUUAGACCAACUACUUCUCCUCUACACAGAAAAUAAUAUCGAAAUCCUUAUACCCACACACUGGGAACAAGAACCAUGUCUUUUUUU